rnacentral:rRNA from 1 species
AGUGAACGCUGGCGGUAGGCCUAACACAUGCAAGUCGAACGGCAGCACAGAGGAGCUUGCUCCUUGGGUGGCGAGUGGCGGACGGGUGAGGAAUACAUCGGAAUCUACUCUGUCGUGGGGGAUAACGUAGGGAAACUUACGCUAAUACCGCAUACGACCUACGGGUGAAAGCAGGGGAUCUUCGGACCUUGCGCGAUUGAAUGAGCCGAUGUCGGAUUAGCUAGUUGGCGGGGUAAAGGCCCACCAAGGCGACGAUCCGUAGCUGGUCUGAGAGGAUGAUCAGCCACACUGGAACUGAGACACGGUCCAGACUGCUACGGGAGGCAGCAGUGGGGAAUAUUGGACAAUGGGCGCAAGCCUGGUCCAGCCAUACCGCGUGGGUGAAGAAGGCCUUCGGGUUGUAAAGCCCUUUUGUUGGGAAAGAAAUCCAGCUGGUUAAUACCCGGUUGGGAUGACGGUACCCAAAGAAUAAGCACCGGCUAACUUCGUGCCAGCCGCCGCGGUAAUAC